GCACAAGCGGUGGAGCAUGUGGUUUAAUUCGACGCAACGCGAAGAACCUUACCUACUCUUGACAUCCAGAGAAGACUGCAGAGAUGCGGUUGUGCCUUCGGGAACUCUGAGACAGGUGCUGCAUGGCUGUCGUCAGCUCGUGUUGUGAAAUGUUGGGUUAAGUCCCGCAACGAGCGCAACCCUUAUCCUUAGUUGCCAGCGAUUCGGUCGGGAACUCUAGGGAGACUGCCGGUGAUAAACCGGAGGAAGGUGGGGACGACGUCAAGUCAUCAUGGCCCUUACGAGUAGGGCUACACACGUGCUACAAUGGUAUGUACAGAGGGAGGCAAGCUGGCGACAGUGAGCGGAUCUCUUAAAGCAUAUCGUAGUCCGGAUCGCAGUCUGCAACUCGACUGCGUGAAGUCGGAAUCGCUAGUAAUCGCAAAUCAGAAUGUUGCGGUGAAUACAUUCCCGGGCCUUGUACACACCGCCCGUCACACCAUGGGAGUGGGUUGCAAAAGAAGUAGGUAGCUUAACCUUCGGGAGGGCGCUUACCACUUUGUGAUUCAUGACUGGGGUGAAGUCGUAACAAGGUAACCGUAGGGGAACCUGCGGCUGGAUCACCUCCUU
rnacentral:rRNA from 1 species